UGGGGAAUUUUGGACAAUGGGGGCAACCCUGAUCCAGCAAUGCCGCGUGAGUGAAGAAGGCCUUCGGGUUGUAAAGCUCUUUUGUCAGGGAAGAAGCGGUAGUAGCGAAUAACUAUUACUAAUGACGGUACCUGAAGAAUAAGCACCGGCUAACUACGUGCCAGCAGCCGCGGUAAUACGUAGGGUGCAAGCGUUAAUCGGAAUUACUGGGCGUAAAGCGUGCGCAGGCGGUUGUGUAAGUCAGAUGUGAAAUCCCCGGGCUCAACCUGGGAAUUGCAUUUGAGACUGCACGGCUAGAGUGUGUCAGAGGGGGGUAGAAUUCCACGUGUAGCAGUGAAAUGCGUAGAUAUGUGGAGGAAUACCGAUGGCGAAGGCAGCCCCCUGGGAUAACACUGACGCUCAUGCACGAAAGCGUGGGGAGCAAACAGGAUUAGAUACCCAAGUAGUCCCUGAGCGGGCUGGCAAGGCG
rnacentral:rRNA from 1 species